AUGGGCUCAAUAAAAGACAGAAAUGGUAUGGACCUAACAGAAGCAGAAGAUAUUAAGAAGAGGUGGCAAGAAUACACAGAAGAACUGUACAAAAAAGAUCUUCAUGACCCAGAUAGUCAUGAUGGUGUGAUCACUAAUCUAGAGCCAGACAUCCUGGAAUGUGAAGUCAAGUGGGCCUUAGAAAGCAUCACUAUGAACAAAGCUAGUGGAGGUGAUAGAAUUCCAGUUGAGCUAUUUCAAAUCCUGAAAGAUGAUGCUGUGAAAGUGCUGUACUCAAUAUGCCAGCAAAUUUGGAAAACUCAGCAGUGGCCACAGGACUGGAAAAGGUCAGUUUUCAUUCCAAUCCCAAAGAAAGGCAAUGCCAAAGAAUGCUCAAACUAUUGCACAAUUGCACUUGUCUCACACAUUAGUAAAGUAAUGCUCAAAAUUCUCCAAGCCAGGCUUCAGCAAUAUGUGAACCGUGAACUCCCUGAUGUUCAAGUGGGUUUUAGAAAAGGCAGAGGAAUCAGAGAUCAAAUUGCCAACAUUCACUGGAUCAUGCAAAAAGCAAGAGAGUUCCAGAAAAACCUCUAUUUCUGCUUUAUUGACUAUGCCAAAGCCUUUGACUGUGUGGAUUACCAUCAACUGUGGAAAAUUCUGAGAGAGAUGGGAAUACCAGACCACCUGACCUGCCUCUUGAGAAACCUAUAUGCAGGUCAGGAAGCAACAGUUAGAACUGGACAUGGAACAACAGACUGGUUCCAAAUAGGAAAAGGAGUAUGUCAAGGCUGUAUAUUGUCACCCUGCUUAUUUAACUUAUAUAAAGAGUACAUCAUGAGAAAUGUUGGACUGGAAGAAACACAAGCUGGAAUCAAGAUUGCCAGGAGAAAUAUCAAUAACUUCAGAUAUGCAGAUGACACCACCCUUAUGGCAGAAAGGGAAGAGGAACUAAAAAGCCUCUUGAUGAAAGUAAAAGAGGAGAGUGAAAAAGUUGGCUUAAAGCUCAACAUUCAGAAAAUGAAGAUCAUGGCAUCUGGUCCCAUCACUUCAUGGGAAAUAGAUAGGGAAACAGUGGAAACAGUGGCAGACUUCAUUUAUUUGGGCUCCAAAAUCACUGCAGAUGGUGACUGCAGCCAUGAAAUUAAAAGACACUUACUCCUUGGAAGAAAAGUUAUGUCCAACAUAGAUAAUAUAUUCAAAAGCAGAGACAUUACUUUGCCGACUAAGGUCCGUCUAGUCAAGGCUAUGGUUUUUCCAGUAGUCAUGUAUGGAUGUGAGAGUUGUACUCUGAAGAAGGCUGAGCACUGA
rnacentral:lncRNA from 1 species